rnacentral:rRNA from 1 species
UUGUCUUUAGUACGGCGAGUGAGCGGCAAAAGCUCAAAUUUGAAAUCUGGUACCUUCGGUGCCCGAGUUGUAAUUUGGAGAGGGCAACUUUGGGGCCGUUCCUUGUCUAUGUUCCUUGGAACAGGACGUCAUAGAGGGUGAGAAUCCCGUGUGGCGAGGAGUGCGGUUCUUUGUAAAGUGCCUUCGAAGAGUCGAGUUGUUUGGGAAUGCAGCUCUAAGUGGGUGGUAAAUUCCAUCUAAAGCUAAAUAUUGGCGAGAGACCGAUAGCGAACAAGUACAGUGAUGGAAAGAUGAAAAGAACUUUGAAAAGAGAGUGAAAAAGUACGUGAAAUUGUUGAAAGGGAAGGGCAUUUGAUCAGACAUGGUGUUUUGUGCCCUCUGCUCCUUGUGGGUAGGGGAAUCUCGCAUUUCACUGGGCCAGCAUCAGUUUUGGUGGCAGGAUAAAUCCAUAGGAAUGUAGCUUGCCUCGGUAAGUAUUAUAGCCUGUGGGAAUACUGCCAGCUGGGACUGAGGACUGCGACGUAAGUCAAGGAUGCUGGCAUAAUGGUUAUAUGCCGCCCGUCUUGAA